rnacentral:rRNA from 1 species
GGUAGGAGGGUGCCGGUGGGGGGGGUGAUACGGAGGGUGCAAGCGUUAUUCGGGAUGACAGGGCGGAAGGCGUGCGCUAGCGGUUUUGUAAGCCAGAUGUGGAAUCCCCUGGCGUAACGUGGGAACUGAGUUUGGAACGACAAGACUAGAGUGUGUCAGAGGGGGGUAGAAUUCCACGUGUAGCAGUGAAAUGCGUAGAGAUGUGGAGGAAUACCGAUGGCGAAGGCAGCCCCCUGGGAUAACACUGACGCUCAUGCACGAAAGCGUGGGGAGCAAACAGGAUUAGAUACCCUAGUAGUC